UUACUCUGAGAAGCCUUUUGAUCCUGGUUUGGAAUGUUUAAAAGUCAGCCACAUGAAGCUCCAUUUGUUUGUUGGGAGAUGGAGCAGAGCAUGUGCUUUGGUCUGAGAGCAGCAAUGGGAAAGGAUCUCACUAAAGUUUCCUGGGCUGGCGUUGAACCUGUGAUCCUCCUGGCUCAGCUUCCAGAGUCACUGGGAUCAUAGGUAUGCACCAUCACAAUGGCUUCAAAACCUUCCAUAGGCUUCUCAGGAUGCUCAGAAGAAUCCAGGUUCAAUUGGUACAUGAAAUCCAUGAAAGGAUUAAGAAAAACCUUGAGACCUUGUAAAUGCAUGCAAUUUGGCCAUGAAAGUAAAAUAUCUUGGGUGAUCAAAACAUAAGAUCCCACUAAGUUGUUGAGGCUGUCCUUGAACUUGAGAUCCUCCUGCCUCAGCCUUUCUAGUCACUGGGAUUAUGUGCAUGUGCCACCAUGCUCAGCUCAAAUACUCUUCAUUCAAAUAGUCAACAUGACCCCAUGGGAAGGGAGUAAAGAGCAUUUCUACAUUGAGAGAGACAUCACUAUCUCCCAUCCUGUACCUAAGUUCUGUCUUUGUAAGCAGAACUAGCAUAGAAAAUAGACUUUCUGUGCAUUUAUAUUCAUAAUCCUCCAUUCCUGACACAUUGGAAAUUAAAAUAUACUGUGGUUUGGUCUCA